GGCGGUUGACUGAUGCGCACGCGCGAGAACUCGGCUGUUCCUCAUCGCAGCCCGGCCCGUCGCCCAUGGCCGCCCCGCAGCGUCCCGUGCCGCCGCCGCCCGCCCCGCGCCGCCCGGCGCCCGCAGCUCCACUGGGCCGUGACACGAGCGACGUCCUGCAGCAGAUCAUGGCCAUCACCGACCAGAGCCUGGACGAGGCUCAGGCCAGAAAGCAUGCCCUGAACUGCCAUCGGAUGAAGUCUGCUCUCUUCAGCGUGCUCUGCGAGAUCAAGGGGAAGACAGCCAUGAGCAUCCGGCAGCAUCAGGAGGAGGACCCUCCCGACGCUCAGCUCCUGAGGCUGGACAGCAUGCUGCUGGCUGAGGGUGUGUCCAGGCCAGAGAAGAGAGGACGAGGAGCAGCAGGCACCGCAGCAACCCCAGGUGGCUGUCCAAAUGACAAUAGCAUUGAGCACUCAGACUACAGGGCCAAGCUGUCCCACAUCCGACAGAUUUACCACUCUGAGCUAGAGAAGUACGAACAGGCCUGUCGUGAGUUCACCACACAUGUCACCAACCUUCUCCGGGAACAGAGUAGGGUGAGGCCUGUGUCCUCCAGGGAAAUGGAGCACAUGGUGGGCAUCAUCCAUGGCAAGUUCAGUGCUAUCCAGAGGCAGCUGAAGCAGAGCACCUGCGAGGCUGUCAUGACUCUGCGCUCACGGCUCCUGGAUGCCAGGCGGAAGCGGCGGAAUUUCAGCAAGCAGGCCACCCAGGUGCUGAACGAGUAUUUCUAUUCCCAUUUGAGCAACCCCUACCCCAGCGAGGAGACCAAAGAGGAGCUGGCCAGGAAGGGCGGCAUCACCGUGUCCCAGGUCUCUAACUGGUUCGGCAACAAAAGAAUCCGGUACAAAAAGAACUCGGGGAAGCUCCAGGAAGAGGCUACCAUGUACAGUGAGAAAACGUCUGUGGCCACCAAGGUCCGGGGCUCAGGGGGUCAGACCAGCUGCCAGUCCACACCCAGCCCAGGUGACAACGCCAUGGCCUCCUUAUCUGUUCCUGUGGUCCCUUCCCCCUGACCAGUGGAGGUGACAUGGUUCUCACCCUUCGGACCCUGGCCUUCCUCCAGCCCCCCCCUGGGGGAGCCUUCCUCCAGCCCCCUGGGGGAGUCUGCCUCCAGCCCCCGGCCCACAGCAGCUGGCAGAGAGCCACCACCCCACAGGCAGCCUCAUCACCUGCUGAAGACUCUGGAAGCUUCAACUCAGAUGUGUCUAAUUAAGUUUUGGGAACCUGGUUGAGUGCCAUGGGUGACUGGCCCUGUAUCCUGCUGAUUACCUCAGAAACCCCGGUUGUGGAGAUGCCCUUUUCCUGGCCACCCACCUGCCUGCCUUGGAGUGAUUUUAACACCAGUUUGGUGGCCGACAGUGGCUGCUCAUCUAGGGCUUUGUUGCGAGCGCCCUUUAAUUAAAGUGUUUGACUUGUCUGCA